AUUGAACGCUGGCGGCAUGCCUUACACAUGCAAGUCGAACGGCAGUACGGGUGCUUGCACCUGGUGGCGAGUGGCGAACGGGUGAGUAAUACAUCGGAACAUGUCCUGUAGUGGGGGAUAGCCCGGCGAAAGCCGGAUUAAUACCGCAUACGAUCUACGGAUGAAAGCGGGGGACCUUCGGGCCUCGCGCUAUAGGGUUGGCCGAUGGCUGAUUAGCUAGUUGGUGGGGUAAAGGCCUACCAAGGCGACGAUCAGUAGCUGGUCUGAGAGGACGACCAGCCACACUGGGACUGAGACACGGCCCAGACUCCUACGGGAGGCAGCAGUGGGGAAUUUUGGACAAUGGGCGAAAGCCUGAUCCAGCAAUGCCGCGUGUGUGAAGAAGGCCUUCGGGUUGUAAAGCACUUUUGUCCGGAAAGAAAUCCUUGGCCCUAAUACGGUCGGGGGAUGACGGUACCGGAAGAAUAAGCACCGGCUAACUACGUG
rnacentral:rRNA from 1 species